rnacentral:rRNA from 1 species
UACAUGGGGUGCAAACGUUGCUCGGAAUUAUUGGGCGUAAAGCGCACGUAGGCGGUUCGUUAAGUCGGAUGUGAAAGCCCUCGGCUCAACUGAGGAAGUGCACCCGAAACUGGCGAGCUUGAGUACGAAAGAGGAUCGCGGAAUUCCCGGUGUAGAGGUGAAAUGCGUAGAGAUCGGGAGGAAGGCCGGUGGCGAAGGCGGCGCUCUGGAACAUUUCUGACGCUGAGGCUCGAAAGCGUGGGGAGCAAACAGG